UACGGGGGGGGCAAGCGUUGUUCGGAAUUACUGGGCGUAAAGGGCUCGUAGGCGGCCAACUAAGUCGGACGUGAAAUCCCCAGGCUCAACCUGGGAACUGCGUCCGAUACUGGAUGGCUUGAAUUCGGGAGAGGGAUGCAGAAUUCCAGGUGUAGCGGUGAAAUGCGUAGAUAUCUGGAGGAAUACCGGUGGCGAAGGCGGCAUCCUGGACCGACAUUGACGCUGAUGAGCGAAAGCCAGGGGAGCAAACAGG
rnacentral:rRNA from 1 species